rnacentral:misc_RNA from 2 species
AUAUAUAUAUCAACCUUCUCUUUUUGAGUGGUUUGGAUGUGGGGGUUUGCUGGCCUUGUAAAGGGUUCAGCUCCCCUGAAAUGCAUUAGCAGAACAACCCUGUUCAUUGGUGUGAUAACUAUCUACGCUAUUGAAUGUAAGGGGGCAGUUCAGCUUUCUAACAGUCCUCGGACAAUUCAUCAUUA